AGAAUCAACGCUGGCGGCGUGCCUAACACAUGCAAGUCGAACGAGAAAGUGGAGCAAUCCAUGAGUAAAGUGGCGCACGGGUGAGUAACACGUGACUAACCUAUCCUUGAGUGGGGGAUAACCUAGAGAAAUCUGGGCUAAUACCGCAUAAUACCUUCGGGUCAAAGGAGCAAUUCGCUUAAGGAGGGGGUCGCGGCCGAUUAGUUAGUUGGCGGGGUAAUGGCCCACCAAGACUAUGAUCGGUAUCCGGCCUGAGAGGGCGCACGGACACACUGGAACUGAAACACGGUCCAGACUCCUACGGGAGGCAGCAGUGGGGAAUUUUGCGCAAUGGGGGAAACCCUGACGCAGCAACGCCGCGUGGAGGAUGAAGUCCCUUGGGACGUAAACUCCUUUCGAUCGGGACGAUUAUGACGGUACCGGAAGAAGAAGCCCCGGCUAACUUCGCGCCAGCAGCCGC
rnacentral:rRNA from 1 species